UAUGUUGACAAUGGACAAAAUGAAGAAUGAAUAUAUAUACGUUAUGACUAUGACGGGACGUCAUUUUCAAAGGGGGGAAAUGUGUAACCGGUUUAACUUUAACUAGUUGGGUGUAACCCCUAAUAGAUUAUAAUGAGGGUAUAUAAGCAAGCGUAUCAUUCAGCACGAUUUGCGGGAAAGCAGUCAUCCAUAUUGGUUGAAGCAGUUGUUCUUCACUUGUAUUCUGUUUUCUAUAAAGUCACAGCACUGGGCAUCAUCUGCAGUCAAGACUGGGGUCAUAAGCUGUCAUAGGAGGCCAAUCCACAAUUGGGCUUUGACAACUUUGCGACGCCUUUGUGAUUUCUCUGAGACGCUUUAAAUAAUCUGUUUAUCGGUUAUUUCCAGAGAUUGUAUUACAAUUAUGUAAUCAUUAAAAGUUAUAGUGUUGAGGGAAAACUAAAUUAAAUGGACAUGUAAUGAA